rnacentral:snRNA from 1 species
UUGCUUCAGCAGCACAUAUACUAUAAUUGGAAUGAUACAGAGAAGAUUAGCAUGGCCCCUGCACAAGAAUGACACACAAAUUCAUGAAGCAUUUCAUAUUUUU